AUGGAUCAUGAGGUCCUGGAGCGUAUACUUGAUGGAAGAGAGAAGCCGACAAAUCUAUCACUUGCACUUUUGAAGGAUAUCACAGAAAAUUUCUCAGAUGAUCGAGAAAUCGGUCACGGUGGAUUUGCAACUGUUUAUAAGGGAGUGGUUCGUAAUGGGAACGUUGCUGUUAAAAGGAUAAGGAACAGUCAUUCAAUCAAUGAGACUUUAUUUUAUCGAGAAGUCGACAGCCUGUUGAACAUUAAACAUAAAAAUGUCGUACGCUUUCUUGGCUUCUGUGCUAGCACAGAUCAGAUAGCCAUACAAAUUGCAGGAUCAAAACGACAUAUUUAUGCUGAGGUAAGAGAAAGACUACUCUGUUUUGAGUAUAUCAGCAAUGGAAGUCUACAAAAGUAUGUUACUGAUGAAUUAAGAGGACUGGAAUGGAAUACACGCUAUGGAAUAAUUAGAGGAAUCUGUGAAGGUUUGCAUCAUCUGCACACGGAGAAGCACAUAUAUCAUAUGGAUUUGAAACCUGGCAAUAUACUACUAGAUAAUGAUAUGGUGCCGAAAAUCACAGAUUUCGGUUUAUCAAGACUUGAUGAAAAGUCAAAAACCAUGAGUGAAGACCGUCUCGGAUCACUAGGAUAUUGUGCUCCAGAGUACAUAUCUGAAGGGAAAAUGUCAUUCAAAUCAGACAUGUACAGUUUGGGCAAAAUAAUCAUUGAGCUAGUGACGGGAGGAAAGGAGAUCCUCAAUAAUAGCAACACUGUA
rnacentral:rRNA from 1 species